rnacentral:ncRNA from 2 species
GUCAUUCCGUUGGGGUGCCCCUUCCCGGGGGCUGAGAGGCCAGGUGCCAACCCAUCGAACCUGAUCCGGCUAGGACCGGCGUAGGGAACGGAGAGCAGCCCGGG